CACGUAGGGCGCAAGCGUUGUCCGGAAUUAUUGGGCGUAAAGAGCUUGUAGGCGGUUUGUCGCGUCUGCUGUGAAAUUUCGGGGCUCAACCCCGAACUUGCAGUGGGUACGGGCAGACUAGAGGUAUGCAGGGGAGAACGGAAUUCCUGGUGUAGCGGUGAAAUGCGCAGAUAUCAGGAGGAACACCAGUGGCGAAGGCGGCUCACUGGUCCGGUACUGACGCUGAUGUGCGAAAGCGUGGGGAGCAAACAGG
rnacentral:rRNA from 1 species